GAGUGAUGAAGGUUUUCGGAUCGUAAAGCUCUGUUGUUAGGGAAGAACAAGUGCCGUUCGAAUAGGGCGGCACCUUGACGGUACCUAACCAGAAAGCCACGGCUAACUACGUGCCAGCAGCCGCGGUAAUACGUAGGUGGCAAGCGUUGUCCGGAAUUAUUGGGCGUAAAGCGCGCGCAGGUGGUUCCUUAAGUCUGAUGUGAAAGCCCACGGCUCAACCGUGGAGGGUCAUUGGAAACUGGGGAACUUGAGUGCAGAAAAGGAAAGUGGAAUUCCAAGUGUAGCGGUGAAAUGCGUAAAUAUUUGGAGGAACACCAGUGGCGAAGGCGACUUUCUGGUCUGUAACUGACACUGAGGCGCGAAAGCGUGGGGAGCAAACAGGAUUAAAUACCCUGGUAGUCCACGCCGUAAACGAUGAGUGCUAAGUGUUAGGGGGUUUCCGCCCCUUAGUGCUGCAGCUAACGCAUUAAGCACUCCGCCUGGGGAGUACGGUCGCAAGACUGAAACUCAAAGGAAUUGACGGGGGCCCGCACAAGCGGUGGAGCAUGUGGUUUAAUUCGAAGCAACGCGAAGAACCUUACCAGGUCUUGACAUCCUCUGACAACCCUAGAGAUAGGGCUUUCCCCUUCGGGGGACAGAGUGACAGGUGGUGCAUGGUUGUCGUCAGCUCGUGUCGUGAGAUGUUGGGUUAAGUCCCGCAACGAGCGCAACCCUUGAUCUUAGUUGCCAGCAUUCAGUUGGGCACUCUAAGAUGACUGCCGGUGACAAACCGGAGGAAGGUGGGGAUGACGUCAAAUCAU
rnacentral:rRNA from 1 species